GUAGAGGAUGCUUCUGGGCAGCGGCCGGUCUAAGUUCCUUGGAACAGGACGUCAUAGAGGGUGAGAAUCCCGUAUGCGACCGGUUGGCACCCGUCACGUAGCUCCUUCGACGAGUCGAGUUGUUUGGGAAUGCAGCUCUAAAUGGGAGGUAAAUUCCUUCUAAAGCUAAAUACCGGCCAGAGACCGAUAGCGCACAAGUAGAGUGAUCGAAAGAUGAAAAGCACUUUGGAAAGAGAGUUAAAAAGCACGUGAAAUUGUUAAAAGGGAAGCGCAUGCAACCAGACUUGUCGGCGGUGUUCCGCCGGUCUUCUGACCGGUCUACUCAUCGUUGGCAGGCCAGCAUCACUUGGGAGCGCCGGAUAAAGGCGCUGGGAAUGUGGCUCUUCGGAGUGUUAUAGCCCAGCGCACAAUACGGCGUCCCCCGAGUGAGGUCCGCGCUUCGGCUAGGAUGCUGGCGUAAUGGUUGUAUGCGGCCCGUCUUGAAACACGGACCAAGGAGUCUAACAUCUAUGCGAGUGUUCGGGUGUCAAACCCCUACGCGUAAUGAAAGUGAACGGAGGUGGGAACUUUACUGUGCACCAUCGACCGAUCCUGAUGUCCUCGGAUGGAUUUGAGUAAGAGCAUAGCUGUUGGGACCCGAAAGAUGGUGAACUAUGCCUGAAUAGGGUGAAGCCAGAGGAAACUCUGGUGGAGGCUCGCAGCGGUUCUGACGUGCAAAUCGAUCGUCAAAUUUGGGUAUAGGGGCGAAAGACUAAUCGAACCAUCUAGUAGCUGGUUCCU
rnacentral:rRNA from 1 species